AAGACUUUAAGUUAAUGAAACUAACAUCCUUCAAAGUUGUAAAAAAAAGAAUUUCUUUUAGGUCUUA
rnacentral:tRNA from 1 species